UACAGAGGUCCCAAGCGUUGUUCGGAUUCACUGGGCGUAAAGGGUGCGUAGGUGGUUAGGUAAGUCCGAUGUGAAAUCUCCAGGCUCAACCUGGAAAUGGCAUUGGAUACUAUCUAGCUUGAGGAGUGGAGGGGGGACUGGAAUUCUCGGUGUAGCAGUGAAAUGCGUAGAUAUCAGGAGGAACACCGGUGGCGAAGGCGGGACUCUGGGCCGAUACUGACGCUGAGGAGCGAAAGCGUGGGGAGCAAACAGG
rnacentral:rRNA from 1 species